AGGGUUUGGAUCCUGGCUCAGAGCGAACGUUAGCGGCGGGCCUAACACAUGCAAGUCGGACGAGAAAAUCCCUUCGGGGGUGAGUAAAGUGGCGCACGGGUGUAGGAACGCGUAGGUAAUCUACCCUCGGGCGGGGGACAACACUCCGAAAGGAAUGCUAAUACCGCGUAAGACCACGCUCACUAAGGUGAGAGGGGUAAAAGGUGGCCUCUUCUUGAAAGCUACCGCCAGAGGAUGAGCCUGCGUCCCAUCAGCUUGUUGGUAAGGUAACGGCUUACCAAGGCUAAGACGGGUAGCUGGUCUGAGAGGAUGAUCAGCCACACUGGCACUGGAACACGGGCCAGACUCCUACGGGAGGCAGCAUUGAGGAAUAUUGGGCAAUGGGCNAAAGCCUGACCCAGCGACGUCGCGUGGGGGAUUGAAGGCCUUCGGGGUCG
rnacentral:rRNA from 1 species